CUAUAGGGCAAGCGUUGUCCGGAUUUACUGGGCGUAAAGGGCACGUAGGUGGGUAAGUAAGUCAAUUGUGAAAGCCUGAAGCUUAACUUCAGAACUGCAACUGAUACUGCUUAUCUUGAGUACAGAAGAGGGAGACGGAAUUCCUGGUGUAGCGGUGAAAUGCGUAGAUAUCAGGAAGAACACCUGUGGCGAAAGCGGUUUCCUGGUCUGUUACUGACACUGAGGUGCGAAAGCGUGGGGAGCAAAAGGGAUUAGAGACCCGAGUAGUCC
rnacentral:rRNA from 1 species